GUAGGGGGGGCGAGCGUUGUCCGGAUUUAUUGGGCGUAAAGGGCUCGUAGGGCGGCUUAGCAAGUCGACCGUGAAAACCCAGGGGCUCAACCCUGGGACGCCGGUCGAAACUGCUAUGGCUAGGGUCCGGUAGAGGUGAGUGGAAUUCUCGGUGUAGCGGUGAAAUGCGCAGAUAUCGAGAGGAACACCAUUAGCGAAGGCGGCUCACUGGGCCGGUACCGACGCUGAGGAGCGGAAGCGUGGGGAGCAAACAGGAUUAGAUACCCUGGUAGUCCACGCCGUAAACGUUGAACACUAGGUGUGGCGGACUUAUCCACGUCCGCCGUGCCGCAGCUAACGCAUUAAGUGUUCCGCCUGGGGAGUACGGCCGCAAGGCUA
rnacentral:rRNA from 1 species